AGUGCUGAUGUGUGUGUUUCCAUCAUCAUUCAGCUUUGCCAAACCAAAGUCAGAAAUUUU
rnacentral:sRNA from 1 species